rnacentral:rRNA from 1 species
AGUGAACGCUGGCGGUAGGCCUAACACAUGCAAGUCGAACGGCAGCACAGGAGAGCUUGCUCUCUGGGUGGCGAGUAGCGGACGGGUGAGGAACACAUCGGAAUCUACUCUGUCGUGGGGGAUAACGUAGGGAAACUUACGCUAAUACCGCAUACGACCUACGGGUGAAAGCAGGGGACCUUCGGGCCUUGCGCGAUUGAAUGAGCCGAUGUCGGAUUAGCUAGUUGGCGGGGUAAAGGCCCACCAAGGCGACGAUCCGUAGCUGGUCUGAGAGGAUGAUCAGCCACACUGGAACUGAGACACGGUCCAGACUCCUACGGGAGGCAGCGGUGGGGAAUAUUGGACAAUGGGCGCAAGCCUGAUCCAGCCAUACCGCGUGGGUGAAGAAGGCCUUCGGGUUGUAAAGCCCUUUUGUUGGGAAAGAAAUCCAGCUGGCUAAUACCCGGUUAGGAUGACGGUACCCAAAGAAUAAGCACCGGCUAACUUCGUGCCAGCCGCCGCCGUAA